rnacentral:rRNA from 1 species
GAUGAACGCUAGCGGCAGGCCUAAUACAUGCAAGUCGAGGGGUAUGAUUUUGAGUUUACUUGAAAUCAGAGACCGGCGCACGGGUGCGUAACACGUAUGCAACCUACCCUUUACAGGGGGAUAGCUCAGAGAAAUCUGAAUUAAUACCCCAUAGUUACAUUUCGCUGCAUGGUGAGAUGUAUAAAGCUCCGGCGGUAAAGGAUGGGCAUGCGUUACAUUAGCUAGUUGGUGAGGUAAUGGCUCACCAAGGCUACGAUGUAUAGGGGUUCUGAGAGGAUGAUCCCCCACACUGGUACUGAGACACGGACCAGACUCCUACGGGAGGCAGCAGUAGGGAAUAUUGGACAAUGGACGCAAGUCUGAUCCAGCCAUGCCGCGUGCAGGAUGACAGCCCUCUGGGUUGUAAACUGCUUUUAUAUGAGAAGAAACCCUCAGAUGCGUUUGAGGCUGACGGUAUCAUAUGAAUAAGGAUCGGCUAACUUCG